rnacentral:sRNA from 1 species
AGAACAUAGGUGACGUGUAUGGCGUGGUGAAAGCCUAUACCACACGCGUGGGCAUCGGGGCCUUCCCCACUGAACAGAUUAACGAGAUUGGAGACCUGCUGCAGACCCGCGGUCACGAGUGGGGAGUGACCACAGGCAGGAAGAGGCGCUGUGGCUGGCUCGACCUGAUGAUUCUGAGAUAUGCUCACAUGGUCAACGGAUUCACUGCGUAAGCAACCCAUGCUGCCAUCCCCACUGGCACCGUCCCUGACUCCCGACACCUGCAGAGGCAAGCAGCCCUUGACGCAGGGGCUGAGGGCCACCAAGUCUCCUUGGACAAGGUUUCCACUGAUCUCGACCCUUCCACAAAGCACGGCCCAGGGGUUAGCGGCAUGGAGGCCUGUGCAGGGUGUGUUGGAGCCAGCCCUAAGAGCACAAACUCCCACCCCAGGGCUGAUGCCAUGAAGGAUGAGGGCAUUCCGGCACUUGUGAAAGGUUAAAAUGCUUCAUGUGGAGACUGGAAGUACUCAGGACGAAAGGAUGCACUGCUAGGAGGAUGGAAGCAUGGGUGCCGGCCUGU